AAUCAACGCUGGCGGCGUGCCUCAGACAUGCAAGUCGAACGCGAAAGGUUCCUUCGGGAGCCGAGUAGAGUGGCGCUCGGGUGAGUAACACGUAGGUAAUUUGCCUUUGGGUGGGGAAUAACAAUCGGAAACGGUUGCUAAUACCGCAUAAUGCAGCGGCUCGACAUCGAGACAGUUGUUAAAGCGGGGGAGUCCUUCGGGACCUCGCGCCUAAAGAGAAGCCUGCGGCGGAUUAGCAGUUGGUGAGGUAAUGGCUCACCAAGGCGACGAUCCGUAACCGGCCUGAGAGGGCGGGACGGUCACACUGACACUUAAAUACGGGUCAGACUCCUACGGGAGGCAGCAGUCGGGAAUUUUGGGUCGAAUGGGCGAAAGACCUGACCCAGCAACGCCGCGUGAAGGAUGAAAUCCCUCGGGGAUGUAAACUUCGCAAGAACGGGAAGAAUAAGCGGGAGUAAAUACCUCUCGUGNUGACGGUACCGUUUGUAAGCUCCGCUAACUCCGUGCCAGCAGCCGCCGCCGUAAG
rnacentral:rRNA from 1 species